rnacentral:rRNA from 1 species
GCUGGCGGCGUGCUUAACACAUGCAAGUCGAACGGGGUCCAUCCAAUGGCAACAUUGGUGAAGACCUAGUGGCGAACGGGUGAGUAACACGUGAGGAACCCACCCCGAUCUCAGGAAUAACAGUGGGAAACCACUGCUAAUACCGGAUGCCUUCCUCGAGCCUCCUGGCUCGGCGAAGAAAGGGUUACCGGAUCGGGAGGGCCUCGCGGCCUAUCAGCUUGUUGGCGGGGUAACGGCCCACCAAGGCAGCGACGGGUAGCUGGUCUGAGAGGAUGAUCAGCCACACUGGGACUGAGACACGGCCCAGACUCCUACGGGAGGCAGCAGUGGGGAAUCUUGCGCAAUGGGCGAAAGCCUGACGCAGCAACGCCGCGUGGGGGAUGAAGGCCCUCGGGUUGUAAACCCCUUUCAGCAGGAACGAAAAUGACGGUACCUGCAGAAGAAGGCCCGGCCAACUACGUGCCAGCAGCCGCGGUAACACGUAGGGGCCAAGCGUUGUCCGGAUUUAUUGGGCGUAAAGAGCUCGUAGGCGGUUGGGUAAGUCGGGUGUGAAAACUCCAGGCUCAACUUGGAGACGCCACCCGA